rnacentral:misc_RNA from 1 species
GAAAUCAAAAAAUUUAUCUCUGAAACUACCUCAGCAUGAUUGUGCUCCUGGCGUCUUUUGUCAACAAUUCUAAAGGGGCAUCCAUCUUUUUUUUGCAGAAGUGCAUGCUCUAGCAACUCCCCCAAUAUCAGGAGAGACAACCACCAGAUCAUUCGAACUAAUCUUCUUGCUAGCAAGGUAAUCGCUGGUAACAACCUAGCAUGUACAAAGAACACAAACUGCCAAUCAGCGAAGUAAAUUUGCGGUUCUUAAUGUUUCUGACACACUUAAUAGAUUACCGGAAAGUGUACGUGGUCCACUCGAAUGUCGAAAUAACCCAUGAAUUGCCCAGGGUGAAGAUCAUAAUCUAGAACAUGUUCUGCACCUGCUUUGUUUUAAUGUUCCCUACCAAUUUGGCAGGAAUGGAUUGGCAAUUUGUGUCU